rnacentral:misc_RNA from 1 species
UGUAGCUGCUGGUUCGUGUGUGUUGUC